AUGUUGCAUACACUCGGUGUUGUGAAUAUUGCAGGUGGGAAAGGCGGCUUCCUACUCCUCAAGGAGGUUAAGAAGCUUACCCAGCUACGCAAGCUUGGGUUGUCCGGCAUCAGCCGUAAAAACUGGAAGGACUUGUGUUCGGCCAUCUCGGGUCACCUUCCUCAUCUUGAGUCCUUGUCGCUACAACUGCUGCUGCUGGAGGAGGAUGGCAGCUAUGAGUUUGCUUGUUUUGAUGACAUCUCCAUCUCACCCAAGAUCCUAAAGAGCCUCAAGGUAUUUUACACUAGUACUGGAGGUGGUGCAGGCGCAGGUGCCGCAUGCAUAAGGCCAGCAUGGAUCAAUCAGUUUCCCAAUCUCAAAAGGUUUAACCAUGAGGUGAGGAUAUCAAGUCAAGAUGACAUAGAUAACAUUAUCCAUUGCCAUGAACGCCAGAUUCCAGGAUUUGAACGUGGUCUUGCAAUCAAGCCAAUUCAGCGGCAUCUCAGUGUCAGAGGAGCCCUGUUUCUGGACACCCUCGGGAUUUAUUGCAGCAGCAUAAACUCAAUGGUGUCGUUUGAAGAUGGCAGCUCAUUUAUUAAAGCACUCAGCAUUCACUGCUGUAGCUCUUGUGGUGGAUCAUCGUGCUUGCAGAUUGUUGGGCUGCGGGAUUUAGUUGAUCUCGAGCAAGUCUUGGUAAUGGGUCCGUGCAGCGACAGCUUCAAGAAAGACUUGCUUAGGCAACUCAAAAAGCAUGAAGGCAAACCGGUCCUGAGCUUCUAUAACUUGUGA
rnacentral:rRNA from 1 species